rnacentral:lncRNA from 1 species
GAGGAAGACGGCACCAGGAUGAGGAGGAUGGCACCAGGAUAAGGAUGGCACGAGGAUGAGGAGGACGGCACCAGGAUGAGGAAGAUGGCACCAGGAUAAGGAUGGCAUGAGGAUGAGGAGGACGGCACCAGGAUGAGGAAGAUGGCACGGGGAUGAGGAGGAUGAGGAUGCCACACGCCCCGCGGCAGCGGGAGCUUUGCUAGGAGACGCUCUGUGUGUGUUUGGGGGGCGUUUUCCUCCCGCCCUGGAGACCGAGGCAGAUGUUUUCCAUCCCGGCCGCUUUCCCCUGGCACGGCAGCGGGCAGCGGGCCGGGGCUCAGGGCAGCCCCUGCCCGCCCUGCACCGGCUGCGGGCACGGCUGGGCACGGCUGGGCACGGCCGGGCACGGAUCGCUGCCCCAGCGAGGGCACCGCGGCCGGGGGGAGCGCGGGGGGCCGCAGCGAGGGCAGAAGGGUGAGUGGACGGAGAUGUCAUUGCCGAGGAAUUCGGCCUGGGCGGGGGAGAGGAGGAAGGGAAGGAGGGAGGGAGGGAGGGGAAGAACCGGGCCCGCUGGCCGGGGUGGGGGGACAGUCCCCGUGUGCCCCACACCGCCCGCAGGUCCCUUCAGCCAGCCCCUGCCCCAGCCCCCGCCGCUUCUCCCGCAGGGAACUCUUUGCCCCCCUUCCCGUCCCCGGUUUCCAGGGAAAUCCAGAUGUUUGGGCCCGGCCCCGGCGCUGCCAGAUGUUUCCUCUCCCCCUGGGCUGGGUGUGUGCUCCCCGUCCGGGGACGCGCGGAGGGGACGGGGGUCCCCCGUGCCAGCACCUCCGGGGGAGAAGGUUUCACACUCGGGGCAGCGAGGGGCUCCUUCUGCCCACCUGCCCUCGCCUCACCCAGGGGGUGCCACCUCCUUUUCGGGGUGCGCCGCAUCCCUGCUAACCCGGAGAAAUGUGGGAUUCAGGGAUGCGGGGCCCGGGGUCAGCAGGAGGAGCGUGGGCUGGGGUGGCUUCACCGGGACGGUCCCUUCCCGGCUGGGAGGUGGCCGGGGGACUCGAGCAGGCAGCAGGGUGCUCCGGGGGCAGCUGGCACCCGUGCCAGGCGGCGCUGGGCUCCCGCCGCGGCUCUGGGGGGGUUUGGUGCCAGCCGGGAGCAGCGAGCAGAGCCCGGGGGGAGCCCAGCAGCGACCCCGGGCCACUGAGGGGACAUCUGCCCGCUCCUGCGGUGGCAGCUGGCGGUGCCCAGGGCUGGANNNNNNNNNNGGCACGGCAGAACCGGCGGUGGCGACAGCGACAGCAGCCACUACGAGUCGUACGGAGAGGAGGAAGAGGAGGAGGAGGAGGAGGGGGGGGUGA